rnacentral:lncRNA from 1 species
ACUUAUCGACCUAGAAAGCAGCAAGGACUAUCCAAUGCCUUAUCGAGGAGAUUGAAUCUUGUACUAAAGGCUGAAGAAGCAGCGUUUGAUCAAUAAUGUAUGACAUUGUUGAAGCCAGAGCAAUUUCGACUUUGCGCUACUAUUGUGCCAAUUGAUGCUGACUUCCUAAACCAGGUACAUGCCGUAACCAUUGAAGAUCCAGUAGCCUUUGAUAUCAAGCAGCGUUGACAUAUUACGUACUUUUCUGCUCGAGAACACGCCGGGUGUCUGGCUAUAGAAGGUAGUAUAGAGAUUCGUUAAUAUUCAAGCAGUCUAUCGGUUUUUGACUAUUGGAAUACAAACGAUUACAAGAAUAUACCGCAAAUCUAUACGGAUGUCCUUCGACUGCUCGCCGAAAUCUUUUUUA